UACGUAGGGUGCAAGCGUUGUCCGGAAUUAUUGGGCGUAAAGAGCUCGUAGGCGGUUCGUCGCGUCGGCUGUGAAAACCCGGAGCUCAACUCCGGGCCUGCAGUCGAUACGGGCGGACUUGAGUGUUGCAGGGGAGACUGGAAUUCCUGGUGUAGCGGUGAAAUGCGCAGAUAUCAGGAGGAACACCGGUGGCGAAGGCGGUGCUCUGGGCCGAAACUGACGCUGAGGAGCGAAAGCGUGGGUAGCAAACAGG
rnacentral:rRNA from 1 species